rnacentral:rRNA from 1 species
UACGUAGGGGGAAAGCGUUGUCCGGAAUCAUUGGGCGAAAAGCGCGUGUAGGCGGCUCGAUAAGUCUGCUGUGAAAGUCCAGGGCUCAACCCUGGGAUGCCGGUGGAUACUGUCGAGCUCGAGUCCGGAAGAGGCGAGUGGAAUUCCUGGUGUAGCGGUGAAAUGCGCAGAUAUCAGGAGGAACACCUAUGGCGAAGGCAGCUCGCUGGGACGUGACUGACGCUGAGACGCGAAAGCGUGGGGAGCAAACAGG